UACGUAGGGUGCGAGCGUUAAUCGGAAUUACUGGGCGUAAAGCGUGCGCAGGCGGUUUUGUAGGCCAGAUGUGAAAUCCCCGGGCUUAACCUGGGAAUGGCAUUUGGGACUGCAAGGCUCGAGUGCGGCAGAGGAGACUGGAAUUCCUGGUGUAGCAGUGAAAUGCGUAGAUAUCAGGGGGAACACCGAUGGCGAAGGCAGGUCUCUGGGCUGACACUGACGCUCAUGCACGAAAGCGUGGGGAGCAAACAGG
rnacentral:rRNA from 1 species